rnacentral:rRNA from 1 species
UACGAAGGGUGCAAGCGUUAAUCGGAAGUACUGGGCGUAAAGCGCGCGUAGGUGGUUCAGUAAGUUGGAAGUGAAAUCCCCGGGCUCAACCUGGGAACUGCUUUCAAAACUGCUGAGCUAGAGUACGGUAGAGGGUGGUGGAAUUUCCUGUGUAGCGGUGAAAUGCGUAGAUAUAGGAAGGAACACCAGUGGCGAAGGCGACCACCUGGACUGAUACUGACACUGAGGUGCGAAAGCGUGGGGAGCAAACAGG